UACAGAGGGGGCAAGCGUUGUUCGGAAUUACUGGGCGUAAAGGGCGCGUAGGCGGCCUGUUAAGUCGAACGUGAAAUCCCCGGGCUCAACCCGGGAACUGCGUCCGAUACUGGCAGGCUUGAAUCCGGGAGAGGGAUGUGGAAUUCCAGGUGUAGCGGUGAAAUGCGUAGAUAUCUGGAGGAACACCAGUGGCGAAAGCGCUCUACUGGGCCAUAACUGACACUGAGGGACGAAAGCUAGGGGAGCGAAAGGG
rnacentral:rRNA from 1 species